rnacentral:rRNA from 1 species
AUUGAACGCUGGCGGAAUGCUUUACACAUGCAAGUCGAACGGCAGCACGGGUGCUUGCACCUGGUGGCGAGUGGCGAACGGGUGAGUAAUGCACCGGAACGUAUCCAAUAAUGGGGGAUAACGCACCGAAAGGUGUGCUAAUACCGCAUACGCCCUGAGGGGGAAAGCGGGGGAUCGUAAGACCUCGCGUUAAUGGAGCGGCCGAUGCCGGAUUAGCUAGUUGGUGAGGUAAAGGCUCACCAAGGCGACGAUCCGUAGCUGGUCUGAGAGGACGACCAGCCACACUGGAACUGAGACACGGUCCAGACUCCUACGGGAGGCAGCAGUGGGGAAUUUUGGACAAUGGGCGCAAGCCUGAUCCAGCCAUUCCGCGUGAGUGAAGAUGGCCUCGG